UCACGCCCUGGCGCGCCCAGGGAGGGCAGCACCUCUGCGCGGCGGGCGGUUUUCUCUGGGGUCCAGUUACGCUUUUCUGUCUCUUUUGCUUUUUAGCAACAUCUGCACACAAAACACGGAAUUUUACUGCGUAAAAGUCCCAGGCUCCAAGAAUUCCAAUUACCUUGUAAGGAAAAAGACACCUAAGAAAAGUUUGCAAAGAGUAUGUUACCAUUUGGCUUCAUUUCUAUGGAGACCAAAGCUGUUCAAGUCAUCAUAUGGCAGAGGAAAUCAAUCAACAAAUAAAACAGCGAGUCACCCGUACGUACCGUGCUCUGGGCUGGCCCUGCCCGCAGCUCCGGACCUCUGAAGAGUUGGGCUUUGCGAAACGGAGUGGCGGAGGCCACACAGCGAAUCUCCCUGACUGUCCCUUUCAAUGGUGCUCUCUGUCAGCCUCUGCAGUCCUCGGAUGCUGCUGACGGUCCGUGUGGGCGGCUGUUAGAGGGGAGUCCCCACCUCCCCUCCCGGGGCCGCUGUGGCAGGGAACUCAGAUGGGUGGGGCACGACAGGCUGCCCUUCCUUGCCCAGAAGAGGACUUGGGCUGGGCAUGUAGAAACACGCACGCGCACACACCCACACACACGCCGCAGAGGGACACAGCGGCCGACCGACGCCUGUCCCACUCCCACGGAGUGCAGCGGGAAAGCCGACUCCUAGGGCAGAUGGAGGAGGCUUUGUCAGAGGGAGCCGCCCAGGUGUACCGCCGUCUCCUCCGCUGAACACCAGAAACAGCUACCGAAGCACGGCUUUAAAACCGACAGCUGGGGAACAUCUGGGCAGCUGGGCGAAGGGACGCCCGUGUGCUGUGGCCUCAGUGCCCCUGAGCACGCGCUACAGACUUGACCCCCGGCUUCACAGCCAGACGCCGAUGCCAAGGCCUCGGGCUUCCCAGCCCACAGAACCCUGAGCCAAAUAUGUAAACCUGUUUCUCACAAACAUCCAGUCUCUGAGAUUCUGAGACAGCAACAGAAAACAGUCUAAAGUAUCAGAUUACAUUUGCAACUUCCUGUGAGCUGAUAAUUAUCUCAAAAUAAAAAGUCAAUAUAUGCAUAACUCUGAGAUCAAAUGAAACGCUUCCUAGGGAAAGGGAAUUGUUUAAAAAACAAGUGGUUCAAAGGAGAAAGGAAAGAAGGGGAAGAAAAAAGUAUGAGAAAAGAAGGAAAAAGAUGGAAACAAAGCUUUUUUUUUUUUCUGGUACCAGGGAUCGAACUCAGGACCUUGAGUUUGCAAGGCAGGUGCAGCACCACUGAGCUACAUCCCCGGCCCAGAAACAAAGCUUUUGUAAAUAGGGCGGGGUGAAAGGGAAGGCAGGGAAUGGGAAAAAACAAGAACUAAGACAUAGCACGUACAGGUACAAAUUCCCGGUGAUGAAUGUGAUCGUAAUGUAUACCUAGAAUGUAC
rnacentral:lncRNA from 1 species